rnacentral:lncRNA from 1 species
CCGGAAAGCCAAUACAUAGGAGGGCAUCGGUCGCCUCUAGAUCAUCAUGAGAGCCUUGUAACUCUCUAAAUGAUCAAUCGGAUCGGUGGAGCCGUCAUAUGAUGCCAUCUGUGACAUUUUGAACUGAGACGGGAUCGGCUCAUCCAAGAUACGCUAAGAGAGAGGUUGGGCAAUGUAGAAGCCGAGGUCGUUGAAAGACUUCUGACCUUCCACUUGGACUCGGAUAAGUUAGCAGUCGAUCUCCUAGAAUUUAUGCUGGAAAGCCAAUGCAUAAGAGAGCAUCGGUCGCCCCCUAGAUCAUCAUGAGAGCCUUGUAACUCUCUAAAUGAUCAAUCGGAUCGGUGGAGCCGUUAUAUGGCACCAUCUGCGGUAUCUUGAACUGAGACGGGAUCGGCUCGUCCAAGAUACGCUGAGAGAGAAGUUGGGCAAUGUAGAAGCCGAGGUCGUUGGAGGACUUCCGACCUUCCACUUAGACUCGGGUAAGUUAGCGGUCGAUCUUCUAGAAUUUACACUCGUAGUCAUCGAGCCGCCGUUGCUAAAAAAAUUCAGGGGUAGAAUCUCCUGAAGAACUUGAGGAUGGAGAAGUGGAAGGUACAUGCAGUCUCUUCCUCUUCUUGAUGCUAUGUACACCAAAAGGAGAGGGAGACCGUCGUGAAUGUGAGCAGCAUGAUGAUAAUGCCAAAAAAGUAGUUGCUCGAUUCAAUGAGAACAUCGAGACGGUC